CGCGGNUAUUCCAGCUCCAAUAGCGUAUAUUUAAGUUGUUGCAGUUAAAAAGCUCGUAGUUGGAUCUCGGGGCGGGGCGAGCGGUCCGCCUCUUUUGGUGUGCACUGGUCGCUCCGCCCUUUCUGUCGGGGACGCGCUCCUGGCCUUAAUUGGCUGGGACGCGGAUUCGGCGAUGUUACUUUGAAAAAAUUAGAGUGCUCAAAGCAAGCCUAUGCUCUGAAUACAUUAGCAUGGAAUAACACGAUAGGACUCUGGUCCUAUUUUGUUGGUCUUCGGGACCGGAGUAAUGAUUAAUAGGGACAGUUGGGGGCAUUCGUAUUUCAUUGUCAGAGGUGAAAUUCUUGGAUUUAUGAAAGACGAACUACUGCGAAAGCAUUUGCCAAGGAUGUUUUCAUUAAUCAAGAACGAAAGUUGGGGGCUCGAAGACGAUCAGAUACCGUCCUAGUCUCAACCAUAAACGAUGCCGACUAGGGAUUGGCGGAUGUUACUUCGAUGACUCCGCCAGCACCUUAUGAGAAAUCAAAGUUUUUGGGUUCCGGGGGGAGUAUGGUCGCAAGGCUGAAACUUAAAGGAAUUGACGGAAGGGCACCACCAGGAGUGGAGCCUGCGGCUUAAUUUGACUCAACACGGGGAAACUUACCAGGUCCAGACAUAGUAAGGAUUGACAGAUUGAGAGCUCUUUCUUGAUNCUAUGGGUGGUGGUGCAU
rnacentral:rRNA from 1 species